GAGAGCCGGAUGCGUUGAAAGGCGCACGUCCGGUUCGGAGGAGAGGGAAAACCCCAUCAUGAAUGAUGAUGUGCUAAUUCCCUUAUCCUAC
rnacentral:ncRNA from 1 species